rnacentral:rRNA from 1 species
UUGAUCCUGGCUCAGGAUGAACGCUGGCGGCGUGCCUAACACAUGCAAGUCGAACGGGAAGUCACCUUCGGGUGGAUGGAGAGUGGCGCACGGGUGAGUAACACGUAGCUCAUCUGCCCUGAAGAGCGGGAUAACGCACCGAAAGGUGUGCUAAUACCGCAUAAGCUCCCGAUCUGUAGAGGAUUGAGAGAAAAAGCUACGGCGCUUUGGGAUGAGGCUGCGGCCCAUCAGCUAGUUGGUAGGGUAACGGCUUACCAAGGCAACGACGGGUAGGGGGCCUGAGAGGGUGACCCCCCACACUGGGACUGAGACACGGCCCAGACUCCUACGGGAGGCAGCAGUGAGGAAUAUUGCACAAUGGACGGAAGUCUGAUGCAGCGACGCCGCGUGGGUGAUGAAGGUUUUCGGAUCGUAAAGCCCUUUUCUUGGUGACGAGGAAGGACGGUAGCCAAGGAAGAAGUGUCGGCUAACUACGUGCCAGCAGCCGCGGUAAAACGUAGGACGCAAGCGUUAUCCGGAAUUACUGGGCGUAAAGCGCGUGCAGGCGGGUUCGCAAGUCAUGUGUGAAAGCUCCCGGCUAAACUGGGAGAGGACAGAUGAAACUGCGGGUCUGGAGGGCGACAGAGGAGUGUGGAAUUCCGCGUGUAGUGGUGAAAUGCGUAGAUAUGCGGAGGAACACCAGUGGCGAAGGCGGCACUCUGGGUCGCACCUGACGCUGAGGCGCGAAAGCAUGGGUAGCGAACGGGAUUAGAAACCCCGGUAGUCCAUGCCGUAAACGAUGUACACUAGACGUUCGUUGCACUACGGUGUGAUGAGUGUCGAAGCCAACGCGAUAAGUGUACCGCCUGGGGAGUACGGUCGCAAGGCUAAAACUCAAAGGAAUUGACGGGGGCCCGCACAAGCAGCGGAGCGUGUGGUUUAAUUCGAGGCUACGCGAAGAACCUUACCUGGGUUUGACAUCAUAGUGGACGAAAGUGAAAGCUGGAGGUCCCUUCGGGGCGCUAUGACAGGUGCUGCAUGGCUGUCGUCAGCUCGUGUCGUGAGAUGUUCGGUUAAGUCCGAAAACGAGCGCAACCCUUAGCUUCAGUUACAAGUGUCUGGAGCGACUGCCUGCGGCAAGCAGGAGGAAGGUGGGGAUGACGUCAAGUCAGCAUGGCCUUUAUAUCCAGGGCUACACACACGCUACAAUGGCGCGUACAGUGGGUCGCGAAGCCGCGAGGUGGAGCCAAUCCUUCAAAGCGCGUCGUAGUUCGGAUUACAGGCUGCAACUCGCCUGUAUGAAGUCGGAGUUGCUAGUAACCGCAAAUCAGCACGUUGCGGUGAAUACGUUCCCGGGCCUUGUACACACCGCCCGUCACGUCAUGGAAGCUGGUCACGCCUGAAGUCGGGAAGCUAACCGCAAGGGGGCUACCGCCGAAGG